rnacentral:rRNA from 1 species
UGGUAAUGAUGGCAGAGAGGUCACACCCGUUCCCAUACCGAACACGGAAGUUAAGCUCUCUAGCGCCGAUGGUAGUUGGGACCUUGCCCCUGUGAGAGUAGGACGUUGCCAGGCA